GGCUACAUGUACCUUCCAAGAUGAUGCAGGGAACCGUGAAGAAGAUCACUUAAUUGCUCAGUAGAGUUGACAGUUGAUUUUUUGAAAAAGAAAUAGAAAUCAAAUGACAGAAAUCCUGUUUGCAGUCAAACAAUUUGACUUUGAGUUCCUUUUACAAAGAUUUUUGUAUUGUUUUAGGUAGCUGAGGUUCAGAAUGAAGAAACUUCAACAGAUUGCGAAUUAGGACAAGAGGUCUAUUGUGUGGAAUGACAGUUGGGCUGCCUGUGGAGUUCUGUGAUUUUAAUAUGCACUAAGUGUUUUUGGAAUUCCUGUGGCACACUUUUUAAAAAGACUGAAAAAAAA